rnacentral:rRNA from 2 species
UACGUAGGGUGCGAGCGUUGUCCGGAAUUACUGGGCGUAAAGAGUUCGUAGGCGGUUUGUCGCGUCGUGUGUGAAAUCCCGCAGCUCAACUGCGGGCUUGCAGGCGAUACGGGCAGACUUGAGUACUGCAGGGGAGACUGGAAUUCCUGGUGUAGCGGUGAAAUGCGCAGAUAUCAGGAGGAACACCGGUGGCGAAGGCGGGUCUCUGGGCAGUAACUGACGCUGAGGAACGAAAGCGUGGGUAGCGAACAGG